rnacentral:rRNA from 1 species
UACGGGUGAGGCAAGCGUUGUUCGGAAUCACUGGGCGUAAAGCGCACGUAGGCGGCUUUUUAAGUCAGGGGUGAAAUCCUGGAGCUCAACUCCAGAACUGCCUUUGAUACUGAGAAGCUCGAGUCCGGGAGAGGUGAGUGGAACUGCGAGUGUAGAGGUGAAAUUCGUAGAUAUUCGCAAGAACACCAGUGGCGAAGGCGGCUCACUGGCCCGGUACUGACGCUGAGGUGCGAAAGCGUGGGGAGCAAACAGG